AGUCCCCCCUACUCCUGAGGUAACGGAUAUGAUUGAGUUGACUUGGGAGUAAAGCCGAAUUUGCUUGAUAUCGUGCGGAAUCCCGAUUGAUCCCGAGUGACAGCUCGUUGGCCAUAAUGAACAGAGGUGCCAAGAAGUUUUUUGGGUAUAUUUUUGUGUUGUAAAGAACUCUCUGUAAUAUGUAGUGUUUGCUAUGAUGUCAAAUUGUAUUUCAAGAAGUGUUUAUAUACUUGUCUCUAGAAGUCUUCAACUUAUAUGCUAUUUAAUGCUGUUGUUUCUAGAACCAAAAAGACUUAUCAUUCAUCAGUGUAAUAAAUGUCUAACUAUUGAGUGGCU